AAGAAAUUUUAAGCUCUAAAAUGAGACCUUUAUUAUAUAUGUGACAUUCCAUUAGAGCUUCUUUCUGAUAAGAAAGAAGCUGAUGAUGUCAAAGGUUAAAUAGAUAAAGUAGAACCAGAAAUUAAAGAAAAAAAAAUCCCCCAAUUUUCCACUUUGAAGAAGAUUGGAAAACAUGACACAGGGUACCUCAUGAUGCUCAAGUAGAUUGGAUACACCUGAAAGUGAUGUUAAGAAAAAUGUUUUUCCCUAAUGACUAAUGUUCUGUGCCAUCCCUAUAUGGAGCUAAAACUUGAAAACUACACUAUUCCCCUUAAUCCUGAGUCAUCAAGCUCAUUUGAUAGAGGGAUAUGAAUACCAUUUUUAUAUCAGCAAUAUUGGCUUUGGAAUAAAUGCUGAGUUACUAAUAUCUAUGCUAGGAUGCCUACUGAUACGAGUGAGAGAUCUUCUUUGAUGUUAAAGAAAGAGGACUGGAAGAACAGACCAAUUUCUGAAGUAAGGAAAAAGGAACAAAGCGUCCCUGGCACUGGAAUCUCAGAAAAUGAAAAUGUUGAGAGACUGAAAACAGAAAGAGGAAAUUAGACCUAUCAUGCACCAGUGAAUCAUUACAAGUCUCUCAGCUACUCUUUGGCAAUGAUUGCUGCAGGGAACUCCACAUGAACAUGUCUUGUUCACCACCAAGCCAUAUAGUAUUAACUUAUGUGGACUAAUACUACCAAGCUACUGCACAAAAACAAUGGGAGGUGGAAGGGUGGA
rnacentral:lncRNA from 1 species